UCCUAUGGAUGAGCAAAGAAAGUCAUUUCUUAAAAUAGAAUCUAUUCCUGGUGAAAAUGCUGUGAA
rnacentral:pre_miRNA from 1 species